GACAGAGGCCCCAAGCGUUAGGCGGAAUCACUGGGCUUAAAGCGUGUGUAGGCGGACGCCUAAGUGUCUUGUGAAAUCCCACGGCUCACCCGUGGAACGGCUGGGUACUACUGGGCGUCUUGGGCCACCUAGGGGCAGCAUGGAACAGCGGUGGAGCGGUGAAAUGCGUAGAUAUCGUCUGGAACGCCGAGUGAAUGGAACAGUCUGGGUCGUGGGG
rnacentral:rRNA from 1 species